UGGCGGCGUGCCUAAUACAUGCAAGUCGAACGGUCUUUCUAUGGAAGCUUGCUUCCGCUGAGAAGAUAGUGGCGAACGGGUGAGUAACACGUGGGUAACCUGCCCCAUAAGAGGGGGGAGUAACAUCCGGAAACGGGUGCUAAUACCGCAUAGUUUUCUUGAUCGCAUGAUCGGAAAGAAAAGACGGCCUUUGUGCUGUCGCUUAUGGAUGGACCCGCGGCGUAUUAGUUAGUUGGUGAGGUAACGGCUCACCAAGACGAUGAUACGUAGCCGACCUGAGAGGGUGAUCGGCCACAUUGGGACUGAGACACGGCCCAAACUCCUACGGGAGGCAGCAGUAGGGAAUCUUCCGCAAUGGACGAAAGUCUGACGGAGCAACGCCGCGUGAGUGAAGAAAGGUUUUCGGAUCGUAAAACUCUGUUGUCAGAGAAGAACAAGUUGGAGAGUAACUGCUCCAGCCUUGACGGUAUCUGACCAGAAAGCCACGGCUAACUACGUGCCAGCCGCAGC
rnacentral:rRNA from 1 species